CCUACGGGUGGCUGCAGUGAGGAAUAUUGGUCAAUGGGCGCGAGCCUGAACCAGCCAAGUCGCGUGAGGGAAGACGGCCCUACGGGUUGUAAACCUCUUUUGCCGGGGAGCAACGGGCGCCACGUGUGGCGCCACUGAGAGUACCCGGAGAAAAAGCAUCGGCUAACUCCUGGCCAGCAGCCGCGGUAAUACGGAGGAUGCGAGCGUUAUCCGGCUUUAUUGGGUUAAAAGGGUGCGUAGGCGGAGCGUUAAGUCAGUGGUCAAAUUGAGGGGUUCAACCCCUUCCCGCCAUUGAAACUGGCGCUCUUGAGUGGAAGAGAAGUAGGCGGAAUGCGGGGUGUAGCGGUGAAAUGCAUAGAUAUCACGCAGAACCCCGAUUGCGAAGGCAGCAUGCCGGAUUCCGACUGACGCUGAAGCACGAAAGCGUGGGGAUCGAACAGGAUUAGAUACCCUUGUAGUC
rnacentral:rRNA from 1 species